GACGAACGCUGGCGGCGUGCUUAACACAUGCAAGUCGAACGGAAAGGCCCUGCUUUUGUGGGGUGCUCGAGUUGCGAACGGGUGAGUAACACGUGAGUAACCUGCCCUUGACUUUGGGAUAACUUCAGGAAACUGGGGCUAAUACCGGAUAGGAGCUCCUGCUGCAUGGUGGGGGUUGGAAAGUUUCGGCGGUUGGGGAUGGACUCGCGGCUUAUCAGCUUGUUGGUGGGGUAGUGGCUUACCAAGGCUUUGACGGGUAGCCGGCCUGAGAGGGUGACCGGCCACAUUGGGACUGAGAUACGGCCCAGACUCCUACGGGAGGCAGCAGUGGGGAAUAUUGCACAAUGGGCGGGAGCCUGAUGCAGCAACGCCGCGUGCGGGAUGACGGCCUUCGGGUUGUAAACCGCUUUCGCCUGUGACGAAGCGUGAGUGACGGUAAUGGGUAAAGAAGCACCGGCUAACUACGUG
rnacentral:rRNA from 1 species